CUUUUCUUUUUUUUUUUUUUUUUUUUUUUUUUUGAGAUGGUGUUUCACCCUUGUUGCCCAGGCUGGAGUGCAAAGGUGCGAUCUUGGCUCACUGCAACCUGUGCCUCCCAGGUUCAAGUGAUUCUCCUGCCUCAGCCUCCCAAGUAGCUGGGAUUACAGGCGUGAACCACCGUGCCCAGCCUCAGGUAUUUCUUUAUAGCAAUGCGAAAACUAAUACAAAUGGUAAACACUAUCUGUGCCUGUUAGUAGCCUAACAUUAGAGGCUAGAUAGCAGUCUCAACUUCCAAUUCUGUGGUGUCAUUGUUGUGUUUCCUGGUUUCUCCCUUGAAAACCAAGACUUCCAAACUAGCUGAGUCCAAAGCUGCAAAGUAAGGAAGCAAAAAUUAUGAGUGUGUUAUUAGGUGUAGUAGUGAAGGAAGCUCUGCCCACUUUCACCCUCUUGAUUCCAGGAUCCCUGUAUUUUGAUACUAUUCUCUAAAAUCCUCCCCCGACCCCCCUGCCAAGGAUGCAAUAUUGUUUUUAGCUUACUAUCCUUGCAGGAAGAGGAAAAUUCAUAAUGGCUUCAGUCUACAGGUCAGGGAGCUAAUGUGAUGAUUCUGUCAAUUGCAGAGUAUGUCUAUUCCAAUUAGAUACCUAGAGACUAGGGAAGUGUCACAAGAGUGAGUCCAUGGGCCCAGUGUGAGAUGAAGUUUGGUCAAAACUCCAUUUAUCAGCUCACCACCACAAACCUUUCCUUUGACUGGCAGGCCAAGGGGGCAGUUUGAGUUCCGAGGAAUUAGCAAAAAUUAAAUUCUAGUGUCUAGGGGUCCCUUAAAGGACUGCCUAUUUCCUCACUCCUCAGAUCCAGUGUCUGCAGAUCCCACUGAUCAAGGCUUAGGAGUAGUUUUGCGGUAUAUAUAUGGAUGUAUUUGUGGCACUUUGCAGAUUUCUUUCUCAAGAAGGCCAAGAACCGCUUUGAUCAUGUGGUUCCAGGACAUGAACCGGCUUAGGUCUGGGAAACUGAAGGGGGGACCAUGACUGCAUUAUAGCGGCUGAAGUUGGCUUCUGGCCACCAGAUCAUGCUUGUCAGGACGGUUCAGUGUGCUGUCCAUCCACUUCAAUCCUAGAGGCGCCAGAUAAAGCAGCUACCACCAAAGUGCCCGUCCAUCAAGACAUUCUGAUUCCCACUCUGAAUAAGUGUGGAGCGGGGAGAAGGAGGAGGGCAGGAACAGUAUUAUUUGACUGUUACCAGUGUCAUCCGGCAUUGCCUUUUUUUGCUCACAGCUGACAUGUAAGGUGGGUUUUCUCUGGCCUGAACUUUCCCUCAUGGGUGCUUUGUGGAUUCUUUGGAGACCCCAAAUGGAACACUUGGCUGCAGGCUCCUCUGUGUGGCUCUUGCUUUCUUCCCUCAAUCUCCAGGAAUUUGGGGGUCCAUCUGUCUUCAGGGUCACCUUUCCCUUCUGGGCAGUUUUAUGAGGCCAGCCCUUUGCCCCAUGUGGCCCAUGUCUGUAAGAAACACUUACUUAUACAUCAGUGGUCUUACUACUGGUAGAAGCACAGUUGGCUCCAAAUGUGCCUCACACCUCUGUGUGUGUGUGUGUGUGUGUGUGUGUGUGUGUGUGUGUGUGUCUGUACCCCCUACCCUGUCUCCUCCCUUCCCCUCCUCCCCUUUCUUCUCUUCCCAUCUACCCCCACUGUGUCUCAUGUUUAGACUCUUCAGGUGAAUCUCAGAAAACAGGGCCUGUAACCCUGGCACUUUGGGAGGCUGAGGCGGGCAGAUUGCUUGAGCUCAGGAGUUCAAGCCCAGCCUAGGCAACAUAGCAAAACCUUAUCUCUACUAAAAGAGGCUGAGGCAGGAGGAUCAUUUGAGUCCAGGAGAUCA
ensembl:lncRNA